rnacentral:rRNA from 1 species
UACGGGGGGGGCAAGCGUUGUUCGGAAUUACUGGGCGUAAAGGGCGCGUAGGCGGUUGGAUAAGUUGGUGGUGAAAACCUCGAGCUUAACUCGGGGCCUGCCAUCAAUACUGCCCGGCUGGAGUGUGGGAGAGGUAAGCGGAAUUCCUGGUGUAGCGGUGAAAUGCGUAGAUAUCAGGAGGAACACCUGUGGUGUAGACAGCUUACUGGACCACUUCUGACGCUGAGACACGAAAGCGUGGGUAGCAAACAGG